rnacentral:rRNA from 1 species
UGGUGGAGCGAUUUGUCUGGUUAAUUCCGAUAACGAACGAGACUCUGGCCUACUAAAUAGUGAGCGGAUCUUCGGGUCCGCAGUACUUCUUAGAGGGACAAGCAGCUUUUAGCUGCAUGAAAAAGAGCAAUAACA